GACUCUGGCUCCCGUGGCUGGCCCUAUGCUGGCUGUCCUCUAGGUCGCAAGCUGUGGCCACCAUUUUCCAAACCAUAUGGGACUUACCCGCUCGAUACCCAGGAAUUGCCCCCUCGGAUGUAUCCUGUUCAAUUGGGAAAGAUUUGAUCCGGAAAAGCUGGACAAACAGAAGGUUUCUCAGACCUUUGAACCAGGUACCAAAUGCUACAUUUGUCGGCGACUGGGUCAUUCGGCUAGGAAUUGCCCUAACCAGAACAAGCCUCCUCAGAUGCCAUGUGUCCAU